CAGGAAUUCUGGUUUCCUCGUGUGGGGGCUAGCGGCGUCUAUCUGAUCCGCGGUUGAGUUUUGUGGGUUCCUGGGAGGGCGGGCGGAAUACACAUGGUCUUUUACAUGUUGGUACCCGUAGGGUGAGUUGUCUGCUGUCUCGUCCUUCUGGGUCUGGGUGGUUGUUGCGUCUGGCGUUGCAUCUCAGGUGAAUAGGCGUAGAAAGCCAUUGGAUCUGGCCAUGUCAGUUG